UACGAAGGGGGCUAGCGUUGCUCGGAAUUACUGGGCGUAAAGGGCGCGUAGGCGGGUCGUUUAGUUAGAGGUGAAAGCCCAGGGCUCAACCCUGGAAUUGCCUUUAAUACUGGCGGCCUUGAGUAUGGCAGAGGUGUGUGGAACUCCGAGUGUAGAGGUGAAAUUCGUAGAUAUUCGGAAGAACACCAGUGGCGAAGGCGACACACUGGGCCAUUACUGACGCUGAGGCGCGAAAGCGUGGGAGCAACAGG
rnacentral:rRNA from 1 species